AACGAACGCUGGCGGCAGGCCUAACACAUGCAAGUCGAGCGAAGCCUUCGGGCUUAGCGGCGGACGGGUGAGUAACGCGUGGGAACGUGCCCUUUGGUACGGAAUAGCCCCGGGAAACUGGGAGUAAUACCGUAUGUGGUCGAGAGACGAAAGAUUUAUCGCCAAAGGAUCGGCCCGCGUUGGAUUAGGUAGUUGGUGGGGUAAUGGCCUACCAAGCCGACGAUCCAUAGCUGGUUUGAGAGGAUGAUCAGCCACACUGGGACUGAGACACGGCCCAGCCUCCUACGGGAGGCAGCAGUGGGGAAUCUUAGACAAGGGGGGAAACCCUGAUCUAGCCAUGCCGCGUGAUCGAUGAAGGCCUUAGGGUUGUAAAGAUCUUUCAGUGGGGAAGAUAAUGACUGUACCCACAGAAGAGGCCCCGGCUAACUCCGUGCCAGCAGCCGCAGUAAAAC
rnacentral:rRNA from 1 species